UGUGAAAAGCUGAAUGUUAUUUUUAGGCAAUAAAAGAUAUAACAGAAGUACAUAAUGAAAUUGGUGCACAAGAACUGCAAUUGGGAAUACAGACAGAUGAGUUCCAAGAAGAUCUGAACUUUGGUUUAGUUCAUGUAGUAUACGAGUGGGCAACUAAUCAGCCUUUUGCCGAUAUUAUGAAACUGACUGAAAUCCAAGAAGGGAUUAUAGUGAGAUGUAUUCAGCAGUUGAACGAAACUAUCUGUGACGUCAGAGAUGCUGCUAGAAUUAUCGGUGAUCCUGAAUUGCAGAGUAAAAUGGAAGAAGCAUCAACUGCUAUCAAACGAGAUAUUGUUUUUGCAGCUAGUUUGUAUACUCAAGGCGAGACUUUAUGAGAGAGAAAUGAAAUAUUAAUGUCAAGUUUCUGCCAUGACUAAUGCCAAGUGUUUUUACUGCUCCAGUUCCUGAGAAAAUAAUUUGUUUUUUUAUAAAAAAAUAUAUUUAUUGUGACAAAUAAAAUGUUUCAUAUGAAA